rnacentral:lncRNA from 1 species
UCGCCAUUUGCCCGCAAAAUCCAAAACCCAAAAAUAAAGAAAAAUGAAAUGUUAGAAAAAGAUAACAAUAUGAAGACAACGCACAUUCUCAAGCACACACAAUCCCAAUCCAAGUACAAUAACUCAUCGAUAUAAUAAUGCACUAUUCGACUCUGUCAGCACUGGCGUCCACUACUCCACCGUCAAUUUCCGUCCCAAGGGACCAAACCAAAGCCACACACUCUGUUUUUAUCACCACCUUAUUCUUCUUCCUCCUCUUCCUUGUCUCUUUCUACUCCAUGACAUCCUCCUCUCCUCGCACGAUCGAUGCACGGAGCCAACCCAACCGUUUCCUCUUCCCGACUGCCCCGUGUUCCCCACUAAGAUCCCCUCCCACCUGGUCCUCCCUCUCCCGCUUACCUUAUCUUCGAUUCAGCGGGUGACGUUACCCGGAUCGUCCGGUUGCUGGACACUAUUUAUCACUCGAAGAAGAAAGAAGAAGAGAGAAAAAAAUUUCUCCUUUUUUUUCAUAAUUUUCGAUAUUUUGGUCUUUUGAUUGUGUUAUAGUCUUUAAUUUUGAUUGUGAUAAUGUUGAUUGAUGCAAAGAAUUAAGAUAAAUCCCCAAAGAUGAAACAGAGAAAAAAAAAAAAAAAAAGAGUGCAACACGAAGAAAUAAGAAGAAAAGGAAAAAUGAAGACGAAGGAAAAAAAGAAAAAAAGGAAUUUAGGAAAAAAAAAUUGAACUGCAAUUUUUAAUUUUAAUCAAGGAUAAAUUAGAGUGGAUGGCAUUGUUGAUAAUUUACUAGAUUUGAAAACCCAAAUGCAGAAUAAUUUUUUUUUUCAAAUAAUUCGUUUCAAAUUUUAAUUUAAAAGAUUAUAACUUUUCAUUCUUAACAUUUUAAUCAUAAAUUAAAAAGGGGUUGCUGUUCAAAAUUCCUAAGAGUAAU